GAUUGCUUUGAUGGUGUUUUUGUCACUCACGAUACAACUGAUAAGAAUGAACAAUAAAGAUGAACGAGGCAAGUGACAAUAUCCGAAAGAAGAAGCUGGUUAUUGGUAUUCGCCAGCAACAAAGACGAAUGAAAUUGGCUGCAGAACAAAUGCUUGAGGAAGUGUUGCUGGAUUGUCGAGACAAGAGUGAAGCUGCUACCAGUGAUCCCAACACCAUCAACGAUCCUCAACCAGUCAUAGCUAUACCUGAAUUGUAGAUGAUCCAGUUCAAUUUGGAUCAUCAUAGUUGAUGCAGAUUCUUACCAAGCAUUCGAUGACGAUGAUGGUGAGAAGGCGUGUGAAUUAUUAAGUGACAUGCUAACUCUGCUCAGUUCCGACGAAGAACAAAUUGAUAAGGAAAAAGUCGAAGAAAAUGCAAGAAUGAAAAGUU